GACGCUGAUAAGCCUGAGGUGGUCGGGGCCUCUGGCCACGACAGCCCUCAUCAACUGCCCACAGAGUCUCAGGGUGAACCCCAGCGAGAAUCGCCCCCCCACACACACCUGCCGGAGAAGCAGACUCCGCAGCACAGCAGUAGCUCCAAUGGCAUUAAAAUGGAGAAUGAUGAAUCAGUGAAAGAAGAAAAAUCUGACUUAAAAGAAAAAUCUUCGGGAAAUAAGAAGGCCAGUAGAUUUCAUCCUUAUUCAAAAGACAAGAAUUUGGCAUUGGAGAAAAGAAGGGUCCAAAUCGUAACAGUUUUCAUUAGCAACAUCCCGUAUGACAUGAAAUGGCAAAAUGCCAGGCGCCAUCCCGACUCGCCUGUG
rnacentral:lncRNA from 1 species